GACGAACGCUGGCGGCGUGCUUAACACAUGCAAGUCGAACGGAAAGGCCCUGCUUUUGUGGGGUGCUCGAGUGGCGAACGGGUGAGUAACACGUGAGUAACCUGCCCUUGACUUUGGGAUAACUUCAGGAAACUGGGGCUAAUACCGGAUAGGAGCUCCUGCUGCAUGGUGGGGGUUGGAAAGUUUCGGCGGUUGGGGAUGGACUCGCGGCUUAUCAGCUUGUUGGUGGGGUAGUGGCUUACCAAGGCUUUGACGGGUAGCCGGCCUGAGAGGGUGACCGGCCACAUUGGGACUGAGAGACGGCCCAGACUCCUACGGGAGGCAGCAGUGGGGAAUAUUGCACAAUGGGCGGAAGCCUGAUGCAGCAACGCCGCGUGCGGGAUGACGGCCUUCGGGUUGUAAACCGCUUUCGCCUGUGACGAAGCGUGAGUGACGGUAAUGGGGAAAGAAGCACCGGCUAACUACGUGC
rnacentral:rRNA from 1 species